rnacentral:rRNA from 1 species
UACGGGGGGAGCAAGCGUUGUUCGGAUUUACUGGGCGUAAAGGGCGCGUAGGCGGUCAGCACAAGUCAGUUGUGAAAUCUCCGGGCUUAACCCGGAAAGGUCAACUGAUACUGUGCGACUAGAGUGCGGAAGGGGCAACUGGAAUUCUCGGUGUAGCGGUGAAAUGCGUAGAUAUCGAGAGGAACACCUGCGGCGAAGGCGGGUUGCUGGGCUGACACUGACGCUGAUGCGCGAAAGCUAGGGGAGCGAACGGG